AUUGAACGCUGGCGGCAGGCCUAACACAUGCAAGUCGAGCGGAUGAUGGGAGCUUGCUCCUGGAUUCAGCGGCGGACGGGUGAGUAAUGCCUAGGAAUCUGCCUGGUAGUGGGGGACAACGUUUCGAAAGGAACGCUAAUACCGCAUACGUCCUACGGGAGAAAGCAGGGGACCUUCGGGCCUUGCGCUAUCAGAUGAGCCUUGGUCGGAUUAGCUAGUAGGUGAGGUAAAGGCUCACCUAGGCGACGAUCCGUAACUGGUCUGAGAGGAUGAUCAGUCACACUGGAACUGAGACACGGUCCAGACUCCUACGGGAGGCAGCAGUGGGGAAUAUUGGACAAUGGGCGAAAGCCUGAUCCAGCCAUGCCGCGUGUGUGAAGAAGGUCUUCGGAUUGUAAAGCACUUUAAGUUGGGAGGAAGGGCAGUAAGUUAAUACCUUGCUGUUUCGACGUUACCGACAGAAUAAGCACCGGCUAACUUCGUGCCAGCCGCCGCCGUAAUAC
rnacentral:rRNA from 1 species